AGUGAGUCUGCAGUCACUCUGUAGGAAUAGAGAGGUUGUGAGGAAGAAGCCUUGGGAUCCUAGCCUGCCUGAAAGAGGCUCAGAAGCAGCAACUGGGGUGGAGCGGGCAAGCUUUGGACUGCCAGUGAAUGAGAGCCUUUGCCUGUGAGAUGAAGAAAGACUGAGUCAGAGGGGAGAAAAAUGUCUCCAAAGAGCCACACUUAGACACACUCAAUAACAGAGGUGCUGAACUUCAUUGAUGGUGUCUACACAAGUGCAGCAACAAGGUUCAAAUGCUGGUUGGAGGGCAAGGGUGAGCCAUGUCUGAAAUCUGCCAUCAAAUACAGGAAAUUCUACUGUAGACACUGCCUAAAAGAAAACCCACUAGUCCUUCAACAUACAUUACAAAUAUAAAUUAAAUACA